UAGAACUGAGAAACUCUCGCUCUCGAGCGGAUGCAAGGAUUGCUGCGUCGCAAGGCCGGCUCUCUUUGAACUCUCAGUUUAUGUACUCAUACACCCCAUUACAAACAGUCAAAGAAUGAAACAAUGGGCUUCGUGCCUAUAAAACUAUAUACAACUUUCAGCAACGGAUCUCUUGGCUCUCGCAUCGAUGAAGAACGCAGCGAAAUGCGAUAAGUAAUGUGAAUUGCAGAAUUCAGUGAAUCAUCGAAUCUUUGAACGCACCUUGCGCUCGUUGGUAUUCCGACGAGCAUGCCUGUUUGAGUGUCAUUAAAUUCUCAACCUCACCAGUUUUGUUAUGAGACUGUGUAAGGCUUGGAUGUGGGGGUUUGUGCAGGCUGCCUCAGCGCGGUCUGCUCCCCUGAAAUGCAUUAGCGAGUUCAAACUGAGCUCCGUCUAUUGGUGUGAUAAUUAUCUACGCCGUGGAUGGUUCUUAGACUUGCUUCUAACCGUCCGUAAGGACAACUUUUGACAAUUUGACCUCAAAUCAGGUAGGACUACCCGCUGAACUUA
rnacentral:rRNA from 1 species